UGGAAAGAAGUAUGCUACAAGCAAGGAGACUUUCAAACCAAUUUUGGGCAGAAGCUGUAACAACAUCUAUCUAUUAAUGUUCUUGAGGUCUUCAUACUGCUUAAUAGAGGUAACAAUCUGCAUGAAUCUUGGGGGAACUGCUCGAAGGAACUUCUUGACGACGAAGAUCUCCUCCACCACGUCACCUAAUGAAUGAAUGUCGUUGACGACGACUUCAUGGAAAAGUCGUCUAUUGACUCACCGUUCUUCAUGCAGAUAGCCUCGAACUCACUCUUCAAGGUCUACACCUUUACUUCCUUGACACGUUCCACCCCACAUGCAUUGUUUGCAGCGUCUCCUACGUUGCCUUUGUUGAGUCCUUCUCUACCAACAUGAGAAGGACGUCGUCCGAGACUACUUGGUAGAUGACAGCAAGAGUCAUCCUAUCCUUAUGCUCCUCAACGUCAUCAUGCUCGACGGCGUCCCACACGCUUUGUGCCUGUAAGUUAACAGACAUCUUUAUCGACCAUGCUGCAUAGUUACUCUUCAUGAAUAACGGGUACUGGAUUGUUGCACUCCCCUCUCUUUCACUCCUUAUCGUUGUCACAUUAGCUCCGGCAACUUGUGGUGACAGCAUUUGUUUUGACAUCCUAGCAUCUAAUAGCACGUGUUGGAA